rnacentral:rRNA from 1 species
GACGAACGCUGGCGGCGUGCUUAACACAUGCAAGUCGAACGAAGAGCGAUGGAAGCUUGCUUCUAUCAAUCUUAGUGGCGAACGGGUGAGUAACGCGUAAUCAACCUGCCCUUCAGAGGGGGACAACAGUUGGAAACGACUGCUAAUACCGCAUACGAUCUAAUCUCGGCAUCGAGGAUAGAUGAAAGGUGGCCUCUACAUGUAAGCUAUCACUGAAGGAGGGGAUUGCGUCUGAUUAGCUAGUUGGAGGGGUAACGGCCCACCAAGGCGAUGAUCAGUAGCCGGUCUGAGAGGAUGAACGGCCACAUUGGGACUGAGACACGGCCCAGACUCCUACGGGAGGCAGCAGUGGGGAAUCUUCCGCAAUGGACGAAAGUCUGACGGAGCAACGCCGCGUGAGCGAUGACGGCCUUCGGGUUGUAAAGCUCGGUUAAUCGGGACGAAAGGUCUUCUUGCGAAUAGUGAGAAGGAUUGACGGUACCGGAAGAGAAAGCCACGGCUAACUACGUG